UAGGGAAUAUUGGACAAUGGGUGCAAGCCUGAUCCAGCCAUGCCGCGUGCAGGAAGAAAGCCUUCUGGGUUGUAAACUGCUUUUUUCAGGGGAUAAAAUACCGGUGCGCCGGGAAUUGCAAGUACCUGGAGAAUAAGCCACGGCUAACUACGUGCCAGCAGCCGCGGUAAUACGUAGGUGGCGAGCGUUGUCCGGAUUUAUUGGGUUUAAAGGGUGCGUAGGCGGCUAUUUAAGUCAGUGGUGAAAUACGGCAGCUUAACUGUCGAGGUGCCAUUGAUACUGGGUAGCUUGAGUACUGAUGAGGUAGGCGGAAUGGACGGUGUAGCGGUGAAAUGCUUAGAGAUCGUCCAGAACACCGAUAGCGAAGGCAGCUUACUAAGGAGUAACUGACGCUGAGGCA
rnacentral:rRNA from 1 species